AACGAACGCUGGCGGCAUGCCUAACACAUGCAAGUCGAACGAGACCUUCGGGUCUAGUGGCGCACGGGUGCGUAACGCGUGGGAACCUGCCCUUAGGUUCGGAAUAACUCCCCGAAAGGGGUGCUAAUACCGGAUAAUGUCUUCGGACCAAAGAUUUAUCGCCUUUGGAUGGGCCCGCGUUGGAUUAGCUAGUUGGUAGGGUAAAAGCCUACCAAGGCGACGAUCCAUAGCUGGUCUGAGAGGAUUAUCAGCCACACUGGGACUGAGACACGGCCCAGACUCCUACGGGAGGCAGCAGUGGGGAAUAUUGGACAAUGGGCGAAAGCCUGAUCCAGCAAUGCCGCGUGAGUGAUGAAGGCCUUAGGGUUGUAAAGCUCUUUUACCCGGGAUGAUAAUGACAGUACCGGGAGAAUAAGCACCGGCUAACUCCGUG
rnacentral:rRNA from 1 species